rnacentral:rRNA from 1 species
GAUGAACGCUGGCGGCGUGCCUAAUACAUGCAAGUCGAACGCAUUGUGGUUGAAAUGAUAUGAAGAACUUGUUCAGAUUUGAUUUUCAACAUUGCAGUGAGUGGCGAACGGGUGAGUAACACGUGGGAAACCUACCUCUUAGCAGGGAUAACAUUUGGAAACAAAUGCUAAUAACCGUGUAAUAAUUAAAAACCGCAUGGUUUAGUUUAAAAGAUGGUCUUGCUAUCACUAAGAGAUGGUCCCGCGGUGUAUUAGUUAGUUGGUGAGGUAAUGGCUCACCAAGACAAUGAUUACAUAGCCGAGUUGAGAGACUGACGGCCCACAAUGGGACGUGAGACACGGCCCAUACUCCUACGGAGGC